CUGAGGCACCGCUGGGAGCUGCCAUGUCCGAGACCUGGAGCAACCACUGCCUCAGUCAUGGUGUCAGUAAUUAACACUGUGGACACCUCCCAUGAGGACAUGAUUCAUGAUGCCCAGAUGGACUAGUGUGGCACCAGCCUGGCAGCCUGCUCAUCAGACAGGUCCAUCAAAAUCUUUGAUGUACACAAUGGAGGGCAGAUCCUUAUCACCAGCCUCAGGGGUAAUGAGGGUCCUUUGUGGCAAGUAGUGUGGGCUCACCCCAUGUACAGCAACAUCCUGGCAUCGUGCUCCUAUGACCGGAAAGUCAUUAUCUGGAGAGAGGAGAAUGGCACCUGGGAGAAGAGCCACGAGUACGUGGGACACAACUCCUCAGUGAACUCGGUGUGCUGGGCCCCCCAUGACUACAGCCUGAUCCUGGCCUGUGGGAGCUCGGAUGGGGCCAUCUCCCUGCUGACUUACACCAGGGAAGGCCAACGGGAAGUAAAGAUCAACAAUGCUCACACCAUUGGCUGCAUUGCCGUCAGCUGGGCCCCUGCUGUUGCACCUGGAAGCCUCAUAGACCAGCCAUUGGGGCAGAAACCCAAUUACAUCAAGAAGUUUGCAUUAGGUGGCUGUGACAACCCCAUCAAGCUGUGGAAGUAUGCUAACCUACCCUGUGUUAGCCUGACAGACUCCAUCUUGCUGAAAGCCAGACAGACUCUGUCUUAA